rnacentral:rRNA from 1 species
GAUGAACGCUGGCGGCGUGCCUAAUACAUGCAAGUCGAGCGAACAGACGAGGAGCUUGCUCCUCUGACGUUAGCGGCGGACGGGUGAUUAACACGUGGAUAACCUACCUAUAAGACUGGGAUACCAUCGGCAAACCGGAGCUAAUACCGGAUAAUAUAUUGAACUGCAUUGUUCACUAGUGAAAGACGGUUUUGCUGUCACUAAUAGCUGAAUCCGCGCAGCAUUAGCUAGUUGGUAAGGUAACGGCUUAACAAGGCACCGAUGCGUACCCGACCUGAGAGGGUGAUCGACCACACAGGAACAGAGACACAGACGAGACUCCAAAGGAAGGCAACGGUAGAGAAUCUUACGCAAGGGAGGAAAGCCGGACAGAGCAACGCCGGAGGAGUGAUGAAGAACUUCGGAAGGUAAAACGCUGAUAUUAGGAAAGAACUAAUGUGCAAGUAACUAUGCACGUCAUGACGGUACCGGAACAGUAAGCCCCGGCUAACUACGUG